AUGCUACACUCAUGAUCCAUCAACUUUGUCUUGCUCACUAUGCUUAAGAAUUAGAGAAAAACAAAUACACUUUUGGUUCUGUUGGUGUUUUCCGCCAACAGAGCCCAUGCACUUGAUCCCUGCCUUGUUUCUAUGAGCAGGACACAUUUUGAGAAACGUGAAGGAAUUUUACAACUCCCAGACUCCACGAAGUGAAGGACCUGGAUCUACGAGCACAAACACACUGAGCAGGAUAUUGCCAACACCGCACUUUGAACUGCUGGGCAAUCAAAGAAUAUAGGUGACACCGUAUCAAGAAGUGCAGACGUCAAGGUCCACACCUAAUCAAAUGAUGCACAUAAAGGAUGAAGACAGUGAGAAGUCUUGUCCAAAAGAUUUAAAACUUUGGAUCCUUGUCGGAGGAGGUCUAGAUCGUCGACUCAAGUCACCUUUCUUGAUCAAGAAGGAUGACCCUGGUGUUCCAAGCAUUGAGUGCACAAUCAACAGAUACUCUUUUUAGAAGACACUCUACGACACCGGAUCUAAUGUCAAUAUAAUGGCCGCAGUCACUUAUCAGCUCCUGCAUGGAACCAUGCCCCUACAACCAAUAUAUAUUCAGCUCCAGAUGAUUUUCAGAUCAUUGACAUGGGAGAAGACGAGUACGAUCCACCCAUUAUCCUUGGAAGACCGUUUCUCAACACUAUCAAAGCCAUCAUCUAUAUUGGAAUCAGAGAAGUCCACAUACACUUCUCCUCUAAGAAGGUACACCACUAUUUUACUGACCCUAACUAUAUAGUUGAAGACUCUAAGCUAGUCAGGACAAGAAGAAGACAACGCAACCGCAACUAGAGAAGGCAAAUCAUCAAGGAUGGAUGGGUAGAUUACGAAGGAGAAGUGACAAGGUCUGAAGACAUAUAGCUUGAACAGAACUAUCCUGAGGAGACCGUAGCACCAAGUCAGGUGUGGAGAGAGAAGAUAGUUACACACGAAGAGGAGGCGCCGCCGGAACCACCAACUAUGCCAUCCAGUGAAUCCCAGGACGACUGAGAAAACAGAGAGUCACGUUCGGAGGACUUAAAAACAACGAACGCCUUGCCAAGAGGUAAACUUGGUAGUUAUCCUUUUCCAUUCAAUAGUUUGCUUAGUUAAUCAGGUUCAUGCUAUCUUGAAAAGAAAAUAAAAAUGUUAAAAAAAUAGUAAGCCCCAUGUGAGUAUGCUCAUGGCAUAAAACCCAUUGGUACAUUCACUGUGGUGAAAUAUGUUUUCAUCUUACAAUAAAAAUAUAAAAAUAAUAAGUGCAUGAUCCAGCUAAAUAAAUAACAUUUAUUGAGGAGGCUCAACAUGAUAAAGGCUAGAUAUUUAUGCUAACACUUAACUAGUUCCACGAAGCUUUGUUGUCUAUUUGAGCUCCAUAGAAUUCAAGGAUAAAAGAAGACUAAGAGACGGAGGACAUCCUAAUCGUUGUCAGGGUGCUGCCGACUUUCAAAUACACCUCCAUCACCUGCUAGCUACAUCAGAAGAAAUUACGUCAAAAUCCAGCUUGGGGGAGAGCACCCGCAUUUAUCCAGCUAAGUGUUUCUACUCGCGUUUAUACUUUACUCAAAUAAUAAAAGAUGCAUAAUCAUGAAAACCCAAAUAAAGAUUUUGUGCUUUUAUAUAUAUAUCUUUGCUUAGUUUGCUAAAUAAAUAAAUAAAGUUUGCUAUGAACCCUCAUGAUAAACUCUCACAUGGAAAUGAUGAAUAGUUGCUCUGCCAUGACUAGUUCUUAAAAUUGAAAUCUCUCUCAAGUUUAGGCAUAACAGUUAUAAUUUAAAGCUUGCUCUAAACCUGAACUUGUGGUAAAAGUACUUGAUCUAAAGUCUAAGUUGUUAACGGAUAUGAUAUGGGAAGGUUGAGCUACUGUUUAUCUGUUCCUAGAGAUGCUAGAAUUCUGGAGAAUUUUAUCUUUGAAAAAUCUUUAAAAUAUCACAUGAUGAGUUCCUGUAUGAUGAGAGUUUAAAAUCCUACCACAGCCCUAUAUACAUGCUUAUUAGACUUUGAGCCAAACAUUUACUUUUUACUGCUUAUGAGCAUUGAGUGUGGUCAAGCUGUGUAGACCCUUAGGAGCUUGUCAUGUGGUUAAAAUCAAGAUUCACUUACACGCUCACUCACACAUGCUGCUUCUACUCUGGAAGUACGCAUCCACAUAUAUCCACUCAUUUCCAUCUCCAGAUUCACCCAAAAUUAUUCUACUCCUAAUCCGGGAGAGAAUAGCCAAAAACAUUUUCCUAUCCCUGUUAUUCCCUGUGAAAUAAUUGCUCCAGUUAUUUUGGUUACUACCACUUGCUACAUUCUUUGAGGAGAUGAGUGCUCUAAAAAAAGAGAAGAAGCAAAAAAAAAUAAUACGAGGAAAUAAAAAGGGGCAAGUACCCGGAACCUCGAAUAAAAGAAAAAGUGAGACGAGAGGUAAAAAUGGACAAGUGUCCGACAGCAGAAUUAGGGGUACAAGAUACCCACCUGAGAGAAAAGAAAAAGAAAAUAUAGAGCAUCUCAUUCUCCUCAAAAAGCUUCAAAGUGCAAGAAAGGUUGUAUCCCCUUAAAAGAGCAAAAGUAGAAUUAGAUUUUCACCAUUGUUAUCACCAUCAUCAAAAUACACCAUUCACUCGCCACACAUGCACAUCUUGAUUUGACUUAUUGACUUGUUUCUCUGGAUACAUCGUUUGACUAUGCAAUAAAUGUCUUGUAAGUAUGUAUUAUCUGUCUCCCACCUAUGAGCUCCAGAUAUCAAAACCUUAUUAGAGUAGGGUGAGAGAGAAGGCAAUAUCACUAUGCCUCAUACCAAAAAUACCACAUACUUUGAGAGAAGGCAUAUACCAUUACUGCCUUGGAAAGGAUCCAGAAAAUACCACAAAAGAGAGAUUUGAGAGAGUCAUACAAGGAAUCUCUGAGUUUUAUUUGAAAAUCUGCAAAAACUCCAGAGUUAUGGUUAAUCAAAGAACAAGAGACAUGGCGCUUGACUUGACCGUUCUAUCUUCUAACUGCUCAAGACACAAGUGACGGUUGCAAGCCCCAUGGUGAAAGGUAAAAUCAGUAAGUUUUAAGUAUUAACAGUUUACUCUAACUCAGAGAUGAGAUCUUGCUUGAACGCAUGUGUACUUUUAAGACAUGAAACCACUGCAGAAACUCUUGAGUCCAUCCUUGCUCAGGGACGAGCAAGAGGUAAGCUUGGGGGAGUUGUUGACGGUCCUCAAGUACCAAAUAUAAUCAUCAAAUAAAUAAAGAAAAGGAUCCAAAUACAACCAACACCCAGACUUAGGUUUUUAUCUGACAGAAUUCCAUGAGUUUUGGUGUUUGUCUAUUUCUGCAGGGGGUUAUCGGGAAAUAAGGAAGAAAGGCCCACAUGUCGGGAUUACAUAGAGAUAUCAACGCACCGCGCAAUUUUCUACCAUCUAGAAGACUCCAGAAGCCACGGGAAGAAAGCAGAGGCCGAAAGGGGCCAGGCCCAGGGCGCCCGCCCUCUUUCCCUGGGCGCCCGCCCUGUCCUGGACUCCGUUCCGGACUCUCUUCGCACACAAUGUUCCACCGACCUAAAGGAUCAAGGAUAACGUAGUACCACAUCGCCUACCGACCCAAAAACGCAUAGAGGAGGACUAUAUAAGGAGACCCCCCUGGCCCCUGGAGAAGACAAGAAGUUAUCAUAGAGUUGAGGGGUGCCCUCGAAGGAAAACCUCUUCUCUAAAUAAUAUUUAUUUUUAGGCUUAGCAUCCAAUGCAAAGUAGAAAUAGAUCUUCUAGUUUCUACUAGAUUGAGAGAGAUAGAGUGGAGGUGUAGAUUGGAGGAAGGCCAGCCUGUCAGUGUCUACUCCGAGUUGUACCUGCGGGAUCAAGUCUCCUAACCCGAGGCUUGCUUCUAAGAUUCUUCACUAAUUCGACUUCUAAUUCUAGUAAGUUCUUGUUUUAUUAUUCUUUGGUUUAUGUGUUUACUUUAAUCCUCUUCCGGUUGAGUAUUAGAGUAAUCAUUGCUAGCGUAAACGUGGUGUUUAGGCUAGGGUACUCAUAGAUAUCCCCUGACUAGCUGGACCGUGGUAGUAGCAAGGAACGUGACAUUUCCGAGUUACCUUUGUAUCCCAUAUCUUGUUAGCAGGACGGGUAGGUUUAUAGGUGCGGGUCGAACAUCCUUUGUGGUGUCUAGAUUCCGUAAGCUUCCCCAAUAGAACAGUAGAUCAUCCUUACCAAGGUUAGAACGAGACUACGGUUGCAGUCUUCUCUAUACAUCACUCACAUCGAGAAACAUUCUUUGUAGCCUAAAGGGGUAGUAGCAAUAGAUUUGGUUAGUCAGAUGCACCCUUUCUCCCAGUGGUAAAAAUAUAAAUACGAUAACUCUAGAUAACCUCCUGGGUGAAAUGCUCACCGAUAUCCGUGCGCUUGCGGAUCAUUUCCUGAUUGCGUUACCAAAUAUCAACAAAGAGAUAGACAUGAUCCAUUUUUACCUUCCCAUAGAGAUUUAGAGCCCGACCUUUUCAAUCUGAUGUUUUUGGGCCACGUAUAUAUUUUCUAAUAAAGUUUGCAUCAAGAAGGACGCUCGAGGAAGCGGGCCCACAGAGGGGCCAGGCACAGGGCGGGCGCCGUGAUGAAGAGGGCGGGCGCCCAGCUCCUGCCCCGUCUCAGUCCUGAUUUCCUCCGUCGCAGUAAACACAUUUAUGGUAAACCAAAUAAUCAUACAGAUGGAAAGUUUCGCAUGCACGGCGGCAGGAGUAGCCCGAGCAAACCCUAGCGGCACUUUUUGACCCCUAUAUAAACAGACCCCUGAUGUCAGUUUUCAAACACCAAUUCAUACAAGCCUUCUCUCCUUCUUCAAUUAGAGCUUGCUUAGUCCCUUGCUGCUCCAAUGGCCGAAGAGUUCCACGAUGAUUGGUAAGUCGUCCCCUUCAACCUCAACAUGAAGCCCAAGGAAGAUCCCGAUGCCUACGCUCUUGUCCCGGCCAACACAGAGCGACGGCUAGCAGCCUUGCCACCACGCCAACGCAGCUCCGCCCAAUCCUACCAUGCUCAACCAGUUCUCACCGCACCACCGCAGCCCCUACUUCUCAAAGGAGCAUCAGCCAAGAAGGAGGCCACCGUCAAGGUGCCAGCCGGCACGAGGAUUCUGCCACCCAGACCCAAUGAGAGGGUCGUUGGAGUCAAGACCAACCGGAGCGGCGAGAUCAGCAGCAUCCGCUACACUCCGGACGAGGAGAGGCCUUACUUUGAGGGGAUUAGAGCAGCCAAAGUCCAUUUCAUCCCUCCAAAGGCAGCCCCGAAGCACACUCUCAAUGCUUUUGAGACACCUCCUAAGCGUCGCAAGACUAUAGUAGAUAUUGAUGAGGACGUUCGCAGGCUAGACAGGGUCAUCAUAGACCUCCAGUCCCCAGUUAACUCCAUCACUAGGCAGCUCUCUAACCACAACACCGUUAUACUAGGUCUUAUGCAUGAUAUGGAUAAGCAUCAUUUCUUGUGUAUUCUUAUCAUGUGGUUCGUCCCAGACAUAGACUUACCCCUUUGAAGUAGAGAAACCAUAGUUAUCCUCUCUAUUCUCCUACCAUCGCCCAUAUACUAGAUUGCUCUACUCUCUAUUCCUAUAUUAUCACCCAUUGUUAUCUUACCUUUAAUAUUGUUCUUAUUCAAUUUUGCCAUCUUUCCUAUUUACACCUACCUAUCUAUCUAGGUUAAGUUAGAGCGUAGAUCAGUUCUCCCGUUUCCCUGUGGAUACGAUAAAACCUUUAAUCGGGUAAAAGCUACAACGGUAUCCGUGCGCUUGCAGAUUUAUUUGUGUGCGUAUAAAUACCAUAGUACACUCUAGUGUUAUGUUGGGGAUGACAACCUAGUAUUCAAGUGGUGUUAGCAAGUGUCAACAAGCAUUUUUGGCGCCAUUGCCAGGGAAACGGUUGCUGAGUUGACUACGAACUAGCUUAAUCAUUUUCUAAAAAAAUAAAAAAAUAUACUUUUACUUUUAUCUUUUGCCUUAUCUCUGCUAUUCUUUCUUCUUAUCUAAUCCUUGAUAUCUGGUCUAUCAUGAAUUCAAACAUGUCUAUCUAUGAAUUUCAUAGACCUACGGGCACACAUCUCGAACCACCAAAAUGUUCAAAGCCUAUCAUAGCAUCUAUUUUGAGAUAGACCCCGAAUACAUAGAAUUUGUUAAAAAACAACCUUUCUCAGGAGAAGGUGAGGAAAACCCAUACACACACCUAAGAGAGUUUUAUCGAGUAUGUGACCUCCUUCGCAUAGAAGGCAUGUCCGAUGAGACCCUUAAAUGGAAGCUCUUUUCGUUCUCUUUAACAAGAAAAGCUAGACAUUGGUACAAACUCAAAGUAGGGAGUGUUCAUGGAGAUUGGAAGGAGUUAUAUAAUAGUUUUCUUUUUAAAUAUUUUCCAAUCUCCAAAGUGGCAGAACUUUGGCAUGAGAUUAUUUCUUUUAGACAACUGGAAGAAGAAUCUCUUGGCAAAUCAUGGGACCGCUUUAUUAACCUUACUCUCACUGGCCCAAAGCUUUCUAUUCCAGAAAGUUCUUCUAAUUCACUUUUUUGAGGGCCUUAGUAGGGAAAAUAAGCAAACCUUGAAUACAGUCUCUAGAGGAUCCUUCUAUCACCUACCUGCUAGUGAAGUUAGGGAUUUAGUUGAUUCAUUGAGUGGAAAGUUUCCUAGCAUUUAUAUCCCUGAGAAAGAGAAAGAACCAGUUCCUAGACAAUAAGAAGAAGUUUCGAUAGCCAGAUCACAACCACUUCAAUCCCAAACUUUAGCUAUCAAUCCUAAACCAUCAAUACCCCAAAAUUCUUCAAGGGAGGAAGGAAUUCCGACCUUAAAUCUUUCAGAUACUGAUGGUUUAGACUUCUGGUUCCAUAAUAGACCUUCAAGCAGGGAUAAAUCCUUGCAAUAAUGGUUCUCUUAGAGAAUGUCCUGGUUCCUAUUAUGAAGAAGUCGAGGAUGACAUAUCAAGUGAAGGAGAGCUAAACCGUAUAGAAGAUUCUAUCGGCUCCCCUUCCAUGUUCACAAAUUCUAAAUCCAUCGUUGACCUUAGAGACCCCUCUUAUCCCUCUCCUUUUCAGUCUCAUGAUGAUCCUAGCAAUCCAUCAAGAUGACCAAACCAUAGGAGUCAUGAAGACCAUAAGGAUGGCAUUAAGAGCUAAGCCAUAUAGAAGAUUCUAUCAGCUCCCUUCUCUUGAUCACAAAUUCUAAAUGGCUGGAAUGUAUAGAAUGGAAGGACAAGGAAGAAGCCUUAAUGGAUUCUAACCUUGACUCAAUUUCAGAUGUUGAGUCUUUAACUCCCCUUGAAUAUGAGAUUCACCCUUCUAUAGAAGAGGACAUAAACGGGACCAAUCCAAGAGAAACUUUGAACAUUCAGAUUAGAGACGAAGAUAACAUUAAUGAGCAUGGAAUUUAUUUGAUAGCCACUUCGUUUACUCCAUGCUCAUAUGAAACAUCUUCCCAAUCUAUUGGUCUCUCCAACAUCACCACAUUUGAGAUCUCCAACCCCCUCUUCCUUUCUAUUUACAAAAACUUUAAAAGGGCGGUUGUCGAUGCAUAUGUCUAUAACAAAAUAUUGUAGAUCUCGUUGAGUUGAUCUUGAUAUAGGUCAGCAUUGGAAGGGAAACCACUUCGCCGACAUAAAUUGAUGGUUUCCCAAGGACAAGCUUAGUGUCCUAAAAUAAGCACUGAUCAGAUCGUAACAUGAGCUUUUAAUCAUUUACAACAUUACCUUGUGUAUUGAGCAUAUAAGGAUAAUUGUAAAAAUAUUCCUUCGGGUAUUCUUGUCACUAACCUUUCCAGGAUUGGAGCAAGAAGAUUGGAUGAAUGAAAAGCACAAGGUAUGUCCAACCAAUCAUCAUUCAACAUUAAUUAAAUCCAAACUUGAAUUUUGCAAAAUUCAAGCUUGGGGGGAGUAGUUUACAUAAAAGCAUCCUUUGCCAUGUUGCUAUGUUGGUUAUCCCUACCUUUGAGACAUGCUCAAUUUGUUAAGUACUAAUCACACUACUUCAUCUCCACUUGAGUAGAUCUCUAUAAAUGCUCUGAUGCUACCUUUAUUUGCUUUAGUAUAUGUCUAGGUUUGGAGUAGUUUCAUUUAUCUCUUAAAUAAAGCAUGGUUCUUAGUUUAGGAAUGAUGUUCUUACUUCCAAGGGAUUUUAAAUUAAGCAUGGUGCUUAGGUUAAAAUGCCCUCCUAAAUCAAAUUAGACAUGGUGUCUAGGUUGAUUUUUGAGCCGAUAGUAUGCUAUAGUAGAUAUUAGAUAUUUUGUUAUACUAACCCCUGCAGGAAAACUUUCAAUAUUGACCUAGAAAGUCCUGAGACAAACUCACAUUGGAGACAAAGAGUGAGACACAUCAAGUUUAACAAUUUACACAAGGAAGACGUAGCUGAUAAGAGAUGAUCCAUGGAGGGUGCCACAAACACGAUGCACAACCGCUAAGAAAGGAAAGCUUCCACAAAGUGAUACUGUACCAUCACUCUUCAAGUAAGGUAACAUCUUAAGGUACUUGACUAUCACUUUUAUAAGCUUGUCCUUAGUUCUGACGUUCAUAUGAAUAAAAGAGACAAACAUGUAUGAUUUACAACUCUAGGUUAACCAACCCAAUCGAUUCAACAUGUUUAGUCCUUCCACCUUUGUGAUCCCACACUCCUAAUCAUAUGAGCUAAAAUGUUGCACACUCAAUCUUUGGAAGGUAUAUAAAAAAACAUAAAUAUAGAUAGAUUAUCUUUCCAUUAGGUUGAGCGAUCUGAUCUGACAAAUGUUUUAAAAGCUACAUUCAUGAACUUAUCACCCAUCAACUUUGACUUGCUCCCUUUGCUCAAGGAUAGAGAAGAAUAAAUAUACUUUUGGUUCUGUUGGUGUUUUCCACCAACAGUACCCAUGCACUUGAUCUCUGCCUAGUCUCUAUGAGCAGGUACACUUGGAGCAAAACAUAGUGGAGUUUUACAACUCCUAGAUUCAUCAAGUGAAGGACCUAGAUCUACGAGCACAAACACACUAAGCAGGAUGCUGCCAACGCUGCACUUCGAACUGCUGGGCAAACGAAGAACAUGGGUGACAACGUAUCAAGAGGUGCAGACGUCAAGGUCCACACCUGAAUCAAAUGACGCACCUAAAGAAUGAACACGGUGAGAAGUCUUGUUCAGAAGACUUAAAACAUUGAACCGUCACCGAAAGGUAAAAUCGGUAGUUAUCCAUAUUUAUCCUUUCUGCAUUCCCUUUUCCCUCAAAUUAUUUACUUUCCUUAAAUAGCUUGUUAGUUAAUUAUGCUAUCUUGAAAAGAAAAUAAAAAAAUGUUAAAAAUAGUAAGCCCCAUGUGAGUAUGCUCGUGGCAUAAAACCCAUAAGUACAUUCACUGUGGUGCCGUAAAAAUAAAAUAAAUAUAUUCCUGUCCAAUAGAAAUGAAAAUAUAAAAAUAAAUUUAUGAUCCUACCAAAGAGAGUAAUAUCUAUUAGAGAAAGCUCAACAUGAUAACGGCUAAGAGAUUUUAUGCUAACACUUAACCAGAUUCACAAAGCUUUGUUGUCUAUUUGAGCUCCGCAAAAUCCAAGGAUCAAAGAAGACUAGCAGACAGAGGAUAUCCUAAUCACUGUCUAGGUGCUGCCAACAUUCAAAUACACCUCCACCACCUGCUGGCUACAUCAGAAGAAUUUACAUCAAAAUCCAGCU
rnacentral:lncRNA from 1 species